AGUCAUGUGAUAAACACAUAGUGAAUUAUUCUUUCGCCUUUUACUAAAGAAUACCGUAUGUUUGUCACAUUGAGUGACAUACGUCUAUUUUUGAAAGAGUUCUUCCUGAAAAACUCU
rnacentral:snRNA from 1 species